GGGUGGUGUUUUAAUAGAACAUUACAUUGACGUUAGUCACAGAAGAAGCACCGGCUAACUCCGUGCCAGCAGCCGCGGUAAUACGGAGGGUGCGAGCGUUAAUCGGAAUGACUGGGCGUAAAGGGCACGCAGGCGGUGACUUAAGUGAGAUGUGAAAGCCCCGAGCUUAACUUGGGAAUUGCAUUUCAUACUGGGUUGCUAGAGUAUUUUAGGGAGGGGUAGAAUUCCACGUGUAGCGGUGAAAUGCGUAGAGAUGUGGAGGAAUACCGAAGGCGAAGGCAGCCCCUUGGGAAAAUACUGACGCUCAUGUGCGAAAGCGUGGGAAGCAACCAGGAUUAGAUACCCUGGUAGUCCACCCUGUAAACGCUGUCGAUUUGGGGAUUGGGCUUAGAGCUUGGUGCCCGUAGCUACCGUGAUAAAUCGCCCGCCUGGGGAGUACGGCCGCAAGGUUAAAACUCAAAUGAAUUGACGGGGGCCCGCACAAGCGGUGGAGCAUGUGGUUUAAUUCGAUGCAACGCGAAGAACCUUACCUACUCUUGACAUCCUAAGAAGAACUCAGAGAUGAGUUUGUGCCUUCGGGAACUUAGAGACAGGUGCUGCAUGGCUGUCGUCAGCUCGUGUUGUGAAAUGUUGGGUUAAGUCCCGCAACGAGCGCAACCCUUAUCCUUUGUUGCCAGCGAUUCGGUCGGGAACUCAAAGGAGACUGCCAGUGAUAAACUGGAGGAAGGUGGGGAUGACGUCAAGUCAUCAUGGCCCUUACGAGUAGGGCUACACACGUGCUACAAUGGUGCAUACAGAGGGUGACGAAGCCAAUC
rnacentral:rRNA from 1 species